UGGUACGGUAACCGCCCAUGCUAUUACCGGAACAAUUGGCAAUGGCGCCGCUACGGCAGCCGCCACAAUUAUUGCAACAUCAGCACCCGCACAAGGAGUUAAUAAUACUAAUAAUGCGAUUAUGUUGCAAGCCUUGCGUGGUUGCCAUUUAGUGUAAGCUAAGCUCG